AGGAAGGGGAGGGCUGACGGGACUUGAGGCAGGAGCUGACCUAAGAGAAAACAGCCCGUGAACCCGUGCGGAGAGAGGCUGCUGGAGCUCCAGGACCUACAUCUGCCUGGACUGUGUUCUGGAGGCAUCAGAAGAGAUUCCACCCAGAAGAAUACAUACUGGAAGGGACCACAUCUUGAGAAGACAGCCAUUCAUCACAUGGGACCCAACGUACCGGGGCUCAGAACACCCUCUUCCCAGGAUGAAGGACAUCAAUGACCAUCUGUUUCCUCUGAAGCAGACGGUUGGUCAUGAACUUCCUGGUCCGGAUGGUUACUGUGUCAUUCAUGAUGGCUACGGCGCUGGAGCUGGAGAGCAGGGGAGAGGAAGAGGUGUACACACUCUUAGAGGAUGAGGAGGAAGUGGCUGGGAAGAUUGAUGAGCUAAGGAAUGGACUACAGCUUGGGGCGAAGCUCGUUGAACUCUGGCAAGGCACCAACACAAGCCUUCUCUCCAGACACAGACACACACACAAGUAUACACACAUGCACACAAGUACACACACACAUGCACACAUAUGCAUGCACACACACAUACACAGACACAUAUGGACAUACACACAUGGAUAUACGCGUACAGGACGUGACUAUGGUAACUAGUUUGGUUUAACCAUUCCACAUUAUAUCUAUCAACACAUCACAUUGUACCCCGCACAUAUAUGCAAUCAUAAUUCACCAAUAAAAAAGUGAAUUUUGGAGACUGGAGAGGUGACUCAGUGUUAAAAAAACUAGUACUAUUCUUCUAGAGGAACUGAGUUAAAUUCCCAGCAUCCACAUUGGGUAGCCUGUAACUCCAUAUCCAGAGGUCAACAUCUUUGGCCUCCAUAGGUACCCACAUACAUGCAUACAUACAUAGAAAUAAAAACUUUCAAGUACAUUU
rnacentral:lncRNA from 1 species